rnacentral:rRNA from 1 species
UACGUAGGCAAGCGUUGUUCGGAUUCAUUGGCGUAAAGGGUGCGUAGGCGGCGCGGUAAGUCGGUGUGAAUCUGGAGCUUAACUCCGAAACUGCAUUCGAUACUGCCGUGCUUGAGGACUGGAGAGGAGACUGGAAUUACGGUGUAGCGGUGAAAUGCGUAGAUAAUCGUAAGGAAGACCAGUGGCGAAGGCGGGUCUCUGGACAGUUCCUGACGCUGAGGCACGAAGGCCAGGGAGCAAACGGG